AUAUUUUUUAGUAUAAUUCACAAGAAAAAAUAUACUGAUGAAACACAAUUAGGAAAUACAGAUGAAUGUGGAUCAGUGUGCAUUGAAGAAUCUGUAAAAGAAAAUGGCGAUUCCAGGGGAGUUGAUAGUGGCAGGAAAAUUACGCGAAGAAUAUCUAGAAAACCAACUUACUCAACAGAAGACUUUGUAGAGAUAAACUCCAGGAUCAUCAUUGCCUUUGUGUUUCUUCUUUUCAAUUGUGUUUAUUGGACUGGGUUGGUCUGGGUUGAUGAUCUUCAAGAGGAAUUAUCAAAUAAUGCUUUUAAUAUUGUUUCAAAUAUAGAUUAAGGGACUUAAUUACAAUUGAACAUUCAUGCAAAGAUGACAAUGCCCGAUUUACAACGGUUUCCUUGUUGAGUAACCACAAAAUUUUUAAAAGUUCAUAAACAUUGAUAUGUAACUCGAUACUUGAUUAGACAAAGUGUUUAGGGGUUCCAUUGUGAAUUAAUCCGGCAUUUGAAUCUUUGCAUGUAGGGUCACUUGAAAUUACAUAUUCAGAUUCUUUAAAAUAAUCUUAAUGUUUGGUGUUAACGUAAA